rnacentral:rRNA from 1 species
ACUGAACGCUGGCGGCAUGCCUUACACAUGCAAGUCGAACGGUAACAGGUCUUCGGAUGCUGACGAGUGGCGAACGGGUGAGUAAUACAUCGGAACGUGCCCGAUCGUGGGGGAUAACGAAGCGAAAGCUUUGCUAAUACCGCAUAAGAUCUACGGAUGAAAGCAGGGGACCGCAAGGCCUUGCGCGAACGGAGCGGCCGAUGGCAGAUUAGGUAGUUGGUGGGAUAAAAGCUUACCAAGCCGACGAUCUGUAGCUGGUCUGAGAGGACGACCAGCCACACUGGGACUGGGACACGGCCCAGACUCCUACGGGAGGCAGCAGUGGGGAAUUUUGGACAAUGGGCGAAAGCCUGAUCCAGCCAUGCCGCGUGCAGGAUGAAGGCCUUCGGGUUGUAAACUGCUUUUGUACGGAACGAAAAGACUCUUUCUAAUAAAGAGGGUCCAUGACGGUACCGUAAGAAUAAGCACCGGCUAACUACGUGCCAGCCGCCGCCGUAAUAC